AAGCAGGGGAUCGUAAGGCCUUGCGCUUUUGGAGCGGCCGAUGUCUGAUUAGCUAGUUGGUGGGGUAAGGGCCUACCAAGGCGACGAUCAGUAGUUGGUCUGAGAGGACGACCAGCCACACUGGGACUGAGACACGGCCCAGACUCCUACGGGAGGCAGCAGUGGGGAAUUUUGGACAAUGGGCGCAAGCCUGAUCCAGCAAUGCCGCGUGAGUGAAGAAGGCCUUCGGGUUGUAAAGCUCUUUCAGUCGAGAAGAAAAGGCUACGGUAAAUAAUCGUAGUUCAUGACGGUACCGACAGAAGAAGCACCGGCUAACUACGUGCCAGCAGCCGCGGUAAUACGUAGGGUGCGAGCGUUAAUCGGAAUUACUGGGCGUAAAGGGUGCGCAGGCGGCUUUGUAAGUCAGAUGUGAAAUCCCCGGGCUUAACCUGGGAAUUGCGUUUGAAACUACAAGGCUAGA
rnacentral:rRNA from 1 species